UACGUAGGGUGCAAGCGUUAAUCGGAAUUACUGGGCGUAAAGCGUGCGCAGGCGGUUUUGUAAGUCUGUUGUGAAAUCCCCGGGCUCAACCUGGGAAUGGCAAUGGAGACUGCAAGGCUAGAGUUUGGCAGAGGGGGUAGAAUUCCACGUGUAGCAGUGAAAUGCGUAGAGAUGUGGAGGAACACCGAUGGCGAAGGCAGCCCCUGGGUGAAACUGACGCUCAUGUACGAAAGCGUGGGAGCAAACAGG
rnacentral:rRNA from 1 species